CCUACGGGGGGCUGCAGUGGGGAAUAUUGCACAAUGGGCGCAAGCCUGAUGCAGCCAUGCCGCGUGUGUGAAGAAGGCCUUCGGGUUGUAAAGCACUUUCAGCGGGGAGGAAGGCGGUGAGGUUAAUAACCUCAUCGAUUGACGUUACCCGCAGAAGAAGCACCGGCUAACUCCGUGCCAGCAGCCGCGGUAAUACGGAGGGUGCAAGCGUUAAUCGGAAUUACUGGGCGUAAAGCGCACGCAGGCGGUCUGUCAAGUCGGAUGUGAAAUCCCCGGGCUCAACCUGGGAACUGCAUUCGAAACUGGCAGGCUAGAGUCUUGUAGAGGGGGGUAGAAUUGCAGGUGUAGAGGUGAAAUGCGUAGAGAUCUGGAGGAAUACCGGUGGCGAAGGCGGCCCCCUGGACAAAGACUGACGCUCAGGUGCGAACGCGUGGGGAGCAAACAGGAUUAGAUACCCGUGUAGUC
rnacentral:rRNA from 1 species